AGCGAACGCUGGCGGCAGGCUUAACACAUGCAAGUCGAGCGGGCAUCUUCGGAUGUCAGCGGCAGACGGGUGAGUAACACGUGGGAACGUACCCUUCGGUUCGGAACAACUCUGGGAAACUGGAGCUAAUACCGGAUACGCCCUUAUGGGGAAAGGUUUACUGCCGAAGGAUCGGCCCGCGUCUGAUUAGCUAGUUGGUGGGGUAACGGCCUACCAAGGCGACGAUCAGUAGCUGGUCUGAGAGGAUGAUCGGCCACACUGGGACUGAGACACGGCCCAGACUCCUACGGGAGGCAGCAGUGGGGAAUAUUGGACAAUGGGCGCAAGCCUGAUCCAGCCAUGCCGCGUGAGUGAUGAAGGCCUUAGGGUUGUAAAGCUCUUUUGUCCGGGACGAUAAUGACGGUACCGGAAGAAUAAGCCCCGGCUAACUUCGUG
rnacentral:rRNA from 1 species